CUUUGCACUUCAGAAAACACCACACUGACUCAUUGUGUUGCUCGAACCCAAGUCACCUGUUUGCUCACAUACUCCUGUGGGUGUUAAACAGAAAAAAAAAGUCAAGAAUGGCAAAUGGCAGAAGUAUUCUGCCCUGCUAAAUGUCCACAUGUGGACUACUGCUUGAAUGAUGGAGAAGUGACUACAGGAUAAUGGGAGUCUCAGACCACUUGGCAGGAACCCGCGUACCUUGACCUGCUGUCAGGUCCUGGCUCUCCACAGCAGGCGGACUCGUUCACCCAACGCAGGCUGAUAAAUGCCACUGCAAUAUGGGGACCAAGGUGCUGCCACCCAUCCCCCCUGGAGCCAGGCCUGGUUCACCUGACAGGGCCAUCCAUCAACUGCUCUCAAGGUCCGAGCACCGAGAACAUCCAGGGAUGACCACUAAAUUGGUGUCAAGAGACCUCUGGCCUAUAAGAAGUGGCCAAACUCAUGGCAAUCAUGGAGGCCCUUGAGAUAAAUCAGAUCACAUCCUUGUGUUUAUGUGUCCAGUAAUGUCUACAAAUCUAAAGGUGCUUUUUUGUUCAGCAAGUCCCUUCACAGUGUUGUGUUGCAGCACAGACAUAAUUCUGUUUUUAGACACAGGCCGCUUCCCUAACUGUUUUUGGGAUCUGUGGAAAUUGCAGACUUCUCUAUCUUUCAAGUCUGAGAGACAAUUGGUAAAAAUGCUACUUGAAACUGGACUGGCAAGAGCAGACUUCAUUAAACUUGAAGUCUGGCAGCUUUGGGAGAUUUUCUCAAAUGCCUCAUAGAUAAAGGCGGCAUUGGACUGAGAGGCUUCUGAAAGCUCUGACCCAUUGUGUGCUGUUUGAAUUGUGCUAGGUAAUAAAUAGAGUGUAAUUUA